rnacentral:rRNA from 1 species
GAUGAACGCUGACAGAAUGCUUAACACAUGCAAGUCAACUGUGGCGGACGGGUGAGUAACGCGUAAAGAACUUGCCUCACAGAUAGGGACAACAUUUGGAAACGAAUGCUAAUACCUGAUACUGUGAGAGAGCUUUCCGUCCCAUUAGCCAGUUGGAGAGGUAACGGCUCACCAAGGCGAGGAUGGGUAGCCGGCCUGAGAGGGUGAUCGGCCACAAGGGGACUGAGACACGGCCCUUACGCGUUCGGGAGGCAGCAGUGGGGAAUAUUUGAAGAUGUACCAAAGUCUGAUCCAGCAAUUCUGUGUGCACGAUGAAGUUUUCGGAAUGUAAAGUGCUUUCAGUUGGGAAGCAGUACCAACAGAAGAAGUGACGGCUAAAUACGUGCCAGCAGCCGCGGUAAUAC